UAAUUUCUUUACAAAUAUUGUGCAUUCUAGUUUUGCUUAAUAAUGUUUCCUUACUUCUCUUGCUCUGUUUGGGCAAUGUGCCAUUUACCAGUGGUUUGGGAAGCCAUUUAAGGUAUAAAGGACAAUCUCACCAUCAGAUAUCAGUAUAUGAAAUGCGCUUCAGUUUAAAAACAACAGUAACAAUGUUUUGCAAAGGAAAGAUGCUAGCCUUGUCCAUUCUCAGAAGUCUUAAUGGAAUUUAAUCUUUCCUUCUACAGCCCAUCAACUAUAACCAGUAUCCUUCCAACUCUGUUCAUCUAUGUUCAGUGUAUCCUGUACAGAGUCUGGACAUUGCAUCCAUGGAUCUAUUGUUAAUCUCCUAAUAGGAUGGAUUUUAACAUGUCCUAGAAGUCUAUACACAGCAAAGGGCAUCAUCUGCUCCUUGUAGAAAUGAGAACAUGACCAUUUCAGCAGCUAACCUGCAUUUCGAGGUAUCUGGGCAUGAAGCCAGCAGCUCUAGAGAAUUAGACUAGAAUGAAAUACUCUUGUGUUCAUGUCCAGGAAGAUAUUUUUCAGUGCCCUCAGGAAUCAAAGGCGAGAAUAAAGCUGAUUUUUUUUUAAUAACUGGCUAACA
rnacentral:lncRNA from 12 species